CAUCGCGCCGCGCCCCCUCCCAACUCGUGGAUAGGGGUAGCGGUGUGGAGACUGGUCUCCCGUGCGCCCCGGCGCGCGGAUGGCUCAAAUGGGAUCCCUCGGUGGCGCACAUCACGUCCAUUUGUGGUUGAUCAAUCGACUCGUGUGCCGUCGUGCUUCGCUGCGUCGCCCGCGAGGGCAUCCGAACGUACCCAAUGGCGCAUGGCGCCAGCAUCC
rnacentral:misc_RNA from 1 species